AUUGAACGCUGGCGGCAGGCCUAACACAUGCAAGUCGAGCGGUUGAGGGGAGCUUGCUCCCUGAUUUAGCGGCGGACGGGUGAGUAAUUCCUAGGAAUCUGCCUGGUAGUGGGGGAUAACGUUCCGAAAGGAACGCUAAUACCGCAUACGUCCUACGGGAGAAAGCCGGGGACCUUCGGUCCUUGCGCUAUCAGCUGAGCCUAGGUCGGAUUAGCUAGUUGGUGAGGUAAUGGCUCACCAAGGCGACGAUCCGUAACUGGUCUGAGAGGAUGAUCAGUCACACUGGAACUGAGACACGGUCCAGACUCCUCCGGGAGGCAGCAGUGGGGAAUAUUGGACAAUGGGCGAAAGCCUGAUCCAGCCAUGCCGCGUGUUUGAAGAAGGUCUUCGGAUUGUAAAGCACUUUAAGUUGGGAGGAAGGGCUGCUGGUUAAUACCCUGCAGUUUUGACGUUACCAACAGAAUAAGCACCGGCUAACUUCGUG
rnacentral:rRNA from 1 species